rnacentral:rRNA from 1 species
UACGAAGGGGGCUAGCGUUGCUCGGAAUUACUGGGCGUAAAGCGCACGUAGGCGGCUUUCUAAGUCGGGGGUGAAAUCCUGGAGCUCAACUCCAGAACUGCCUUCGAUACUGGAAAGCUCGAGUCCGGGAGAGGUGAGUGGAACUGCGAGUGUAGAGGUGAAAUUCGUAGAUAUUCGCAAGAACACCAGUGGCGAAGGCGGCUCUCUGGGACGGUACUGACGCUGAGACGCGAAAGCGUGGGGAGCGAACAGG